GGGUGAGUAACACGUGAGUAACCUGCCCUUAACUCUGGGAUAAGCCUGGGAAACUGGGUCUAAUACCGGAUAGGAGCGUCCACCGCAUGGUGGGUGUUGGAAAGAUUUAUCGGUUUUGGAUGGACUCGCGGCCUAUCAGCUUGUUGGUGAGGUAAUGGCUCACCAAGGCGACGACGGGUAGCCGGCCUGAGAGGGUGACCGGCCACACUGGGACUGAGACACGGCCCAGACUCCUACGGGAGGCAGCAGUGGGGAAUAUUGCACAAUGGGCGCAAGCCUGAUGCAGCGACGCCGCGUGAGGGAUGACGGCCUUCGGGUUGUAAACCUCUUUCAGUAGGGAAGAAGCGAAAGUGACGGUACCUGCAGAAGAAGCACCGGCUAACUACGUGCCAGCAGCCGCGGUAAUACGUAGGGUGCGAGCGUUAUCCGGAAUUAUUGGGCGUAAAGAGCUCGUAGGCGGUUUGUCGCGUCUGUCGUGAAAGUCCGGGGCUUAACCCCGGAUCUGCGGUGGGUACGGGCAGACUAGAGUGCAGUAGGGGAGACUGGAAUUCCUGGUGUAGCGGUGGAAUGCGCAGAUAUCAGGAGGAACACCGAUGGCGAAGGCAGGUCUCUGGGCUGUAACUGACGCUGAGGAGCGAAAGCAUGGGGAGCGAACAGGAUUAGAUACCCUGGUAGUCCAUGCCGUAAACGUUGGGCACUAGGUGUGGGGACCAUUCCACGGUUUCCGCGCCGCAGCUAACGCAUUAAGUGCCCCGCCUGGGGAGUACGGCCGCAAGGCUAAAACUCAAAGGAAUUGACGGGGGCCCGCACAAGCGGCGGAGCAUGCGGAUUAAUUCGAUGCAACGCGAAGAACCUUACCAAGGCUUGACAUGUUCUCGAUCGCCGUAGAGAUACGGUUUCCCCUUUGGGGCGGGUUCACAGGUGGUGCAUGGUUGUCGUCAGCUCGUGUCGUGAGAUGUUGGGUUAAGUCCCGCAACGAGCGCAACCCUCGUUCCAUGUUGCCAGCACGUAAUGGUGGGGACUCAUGGGGAGACUGCCGGGGUCAACUCGGAAGGAAGGUGAGGACGACGUCAAAUCAUCAU
rnacentral:rRNA from 1 species